GACUCACUUUUGGUCUGGGCCGCUUAUUGGAUUUUGUUAGCUAUACACAAUAAGCGGCCCAGACCAAAAGUGAGUCGGUUGUCCCAAAAGUUGCACAAAUUCGAUAACACUGUCACUAGCAUAAAGUUUCUAAAAGUGACAACUGUUGAACUUGCUGACUCAGCAGUAUCUCAUCUGUUUGAAAUGUCUCAUGCUUAGAUCUGCAGCCUACUUCUGCCUUAUUUAGAAGUUCUGCAGCUUUCAGUCUGUGGCUGUGCUGCUAGUUGGAGUUGAUUUCUUACCAGCGUACUUC
rnacentral:misc_RNA from 1 species